CGUAGUAAGCGGUGUUCUGAGCAAUAGGCGUUCCCGGGGACCGGAAUCUAGGUCUGAGUGGCCUCCUCUAUGGCUCAGGGACUAGGAAGCAGAGACAACUCGGCAUUUGAGAGAGAUGCUCCUGCAGGGGAUUCAAGUUUAGUUCCAAACACCCAUAUUAGGCAACACACAGCACAAGACUACCUGUGAUUCCAGCUCUGGAGGGCCCACUGCCUGCCAGCUUCCUCAGGGACCCACACACAGAUGCCCACACCCACACUCAGCCAAAUCUUCACCAGACGAUGGCCGAGAGCCAUGCCACUGGAGCAUGCAGUUAUCAGGGAGACAAAGACUCCCGGAUCUUCAACUACAUGACAACGUGAAGACGGAGCAAGAGAAAGAAAGGGCAGAGCCAAGAGGAGCAGAAAGGGAUGGAGAAGAUGGAAAAUGUCAAGGAAAUCAGUAUCAUGGUGCCUUCGCAGAGUGCAGAGCUCCCUCCAUUGGCGGUGCCUGUGAGUCCCAUGGGCUGAACACUGACUGAGGUGCUCAUUCCUUGCUCUUCCCUCUGGUCCAUCAACUCCACUCACCCUUGGUGCAGACAGAAUGCAAAAUAAUAUUUUAA